CCUACGGGCGGCUGCAGUGGGGAAUAUUGGACAAUGGGGGCAACCCUGAUCCAGCAAUUCUGUGUGCACGAGGAAGGCUUUCGGAUUGUAAAGUGCUUUCAGCAGGGACGAAGGAAGUGACGGUACCUGCAGAAGAAGCGACGGCUAAAUACGUGCCAGCAGCCGCGGUAAUACGUAUGUCGGAAGCGUUAUCCGGAAUUAUUGGGCAUAAAGGGCAUCUAGGCGGCCAGGCAAGUCUGGGGUGAAAACUUGCGGCUCAACCGCAAGCCUGCCCUGGAAACGGCCUGGCUAGAGUGCUGGAGAGGUGGACGGAAAUGGACGAGUAGAGGUGAAAUGCGUAGAUAUGUGCAGGAAUGCCGAUGAUGAAGAUAGUUCACUGGACGGCAACUGACGCUGAAGUGCGAAAGCUGGGGGAGCGAACAGGAUUAGAUACCCUGGUAGUC
rnacentral:rRNA from 1 species